rnacentral:rRNA from 1 species
CAGCCGUAAACUAUGCGCGUUAGGUGUAUUGGUGACCACGAGUUACCGAGGUGCCGAAGGGAAACCGUGAAACGUGCCGCCUGGGAAGUACGGUCGCAAGGCUGAAACUUAAAGGAAUUGGCGGGGGAGCACCACAACAGGUGGAGCCUGCGGUUUAAUUGGACUCAACGCCGGGAAGCUCACCGGAUAGGACAGCAGAAUGAUUGCCGGGCUGAAGACCCUGCAUGACUAGCUGAGAGGUGGUGCAUGGCGUCAGUGACU